rnacentral:rRNA from 2 species
AGAGUUUGAUCAUGGCUCAGAUUGAACGCUGGCGGCAGGCCUAACACAUGCAAGUCGAGCGGUAGCACAGAGAGCUUGCUCUCGGGUGACGAGCGGCGGACGGGUGAGUAAUGUCUGGGAAACUGCCUGAUGGAGGGGGAUAACUACUGGAAACGGUAGCUAAUACCGCAUAACGUCGCAAGACCAAAGUGGGGGACCUUCGGGCCUCAUGCCAUCAGAUGUGCCCAGAUGGGAUUAGCUAGUAGGUGGGGUAACGGCUCACCUAGGCGACGAUCCCUAGCUGGUCUGAGAGGAUGACCAGCCACACUGGAACUGAGACACGGUCCAGACUCCUACGGGAGGCAGCAGUGGGGAAUAUUGCACAAUGGGCGCAAGCCUGAUGCAGCCAUGCCGCGUGUGUGAAGAAGGCCUUCGGGUUGUAAAGCACUUUCAGCGGGGAGGAAGGCGGUGAGGUUAAUAACCUCAUCGAUUGACGUUACCCGCAGAAGAAGCACCGGCUAACUCCGUGCCAGCAGCCGCGGUAAUACGGAGGGUGCAAGCGUUAAUCGGAAUUACUGGGCGUAAAGCGCACGCAGGCGGUCUGUCAAGUCGGAUGUGAAAUCCCCGGGCUCAACCUGGGAACUGCAUUCGAAACUGGCAGGCUAGAGUCUUGUAGAGGGGGGUAGAAUUCCAGGUGUAGCGGUGAAAUGCGUAGAGAUCUGGAGGAAUACCGGUGGCGAAGGCGGCCCCCUGGACAAAGACUGACGCUCAGGUGCGAAAGCGUGGGGAGCAAACAGGAUUAGAUACCCUGGUAGUCCACGCCGUAAACGAUGUCGAUUUGGAGGUUGUGCCCUUGAGGCGUGGCUUCCGGAGCUAACGCGUUAAAUCGACCGCCUGGGGAGUACGGCCGCAAGGUUAAAACUCAAAUGAAUUGACGGGGGCCCGCACAAGCGGUGGAGCAUGUGGUUUAAUUCGAUGCAACGCGAAGAACCUUACCUGGUCUUGACAUCCACAGAACUUAGCAGAGAUGCUUUGGUGCCUUCGGGAACUGUGAGACAGGUGCUGCAUGGCUGUCGUCAGCUCGUGUUGUGAAAUGUUGGGUUAAGUCCCGCAACGAGCGCAACCCUUAUCCUUUGUUGCCAGCGGU